AUAUGACUUGAAGAGAAUGAACUCUAUUCUUUUGCUUUAUUGGAGAGCAUACCAAUUUAUUAAAAAGAGGAUAUAUACAAGGUAUAAAUUACAUGUAGAAUGAAGUGAAGCAAGAAGUAGAUCAAGAGAUGGUGGAGGGAGCAGCAGAAUUGUAAUGGAGGAGAACAAACUGAAUUUUAAUGUAAUCGGUUGGUCUAAAAGUGGAUCGCUGUGAUACUUACGUAUUGGUUGUCCGUACCCACAAAUAGCAACCAACAAUGAGGUGAUGCAGUCAGGUGGUUGAUCUUAGGAUUAGAGACUUGCUUUGACAUUCAAUCUAGAGCAACCAUUACUAUGAGUGCUAUUCAAAUGAUAUCAAUGUAUGUUUGCUAUGGAAAUGAUAUCAAUGUUUGUUUGGGGAACUUCAGAUCCAUAUGUACUCUGAAGGUCCAAAAUGGAUGAUUGCAAGCUGAAGUAGCGAAGUCCUAGAGUAUUUGCUCCAUAUGCUGUGGAGAAAGUAUGGUUAGGGGGGGGGAAAUUGUGGCAUAUUUGAUUCCAUCACAUCUCUGCAGAAGAUGAGUUUGUAAUCUUCAGCCAAUGAUCUUAUGAUAAGUUUGUUGCUUGUCAACAUUUGUUAUUAAGGGUAAGCCACAUGCAGGUGCGACGUUUAAGAGGCAUAUGUAUAUUCCAAAUGCGAUGAAAGGGUUAGAAGGAAUCAAACACUGGCCCCCGUGGCUGCGGAGAAAGAAUGAACUUUGAAUAUAUCUGAAUUCUGAGCAGUUGAAUCUCCAAGAUUGUUUAUUAAAAUAUUAGAUGAUCACUCUCUAAAGUAGGUCAAGGAGCGUGUAUGUCAUGAAUGAUUAAAUGGAGAAGAAUAAAAACCAAAUGACAUGUAUAAUCGUAAUAACAGUAAAUUCUUUAUGCAGAUUGUAGUUGCCUCACACACAUGGAAUUGGCUGAGGAAACCAUAGCAUUGGCUAUUAUCACGAGUAAUGUGGCAGCUGAGUUGCUCAGGUGUCUCUGAUGACUCAAUCCUUCCAACCUCCUGAUUUUUUUGUGUAUUAUUUGCAUCUUCCUACUUAACCAGCCCUUUCAUGGAUUUCACAAAAAGGCGCAUGUUCUGCUAAAGGUCUAUCCAAUCCUGUCUUAUAUCUUUUUACAUAGAGCUUCCAGUUGUGCCAGUUCAUGUUUGAGUUAAUGCUGUAGGAAAGAUGGUAUCUACUAAAGCUUACAAUUUAUGCUGUUGAUAAUUUCUCUAGCAAUUAUUAUUCACUUUUUAUCAGUAACCUCUUUCUUGUGUUGUUUGACGAUUCUAUAGAUGUUACAUAGAUAAUAUACUUUCUAUGUCAGUGGCUACAGGCCUUAGGAAGUGAAGAUCUACGUGGUUAUUUAACUGUCUGUACUUUCUUCUUCUGCUUCUCAUACAGGAAAUUCCAUCAGACACUGAAGAUAGCUUAACGUUGGAGUUUGAACAAGAUGUGCUUCCUCCUAGUCCCAGAGUCAACGCUCACUCAAAGUCAGGUUAUGAGAAUAUUGAGGACCUCUUUGAACUCGACGACUCCCUGUACUUUGACCAGCAAUUCGAGAUCAAGCUGAAGGAAGAAGAUGAGAGUGAUGUUGCUUGCUUUUAAACGAGUUCUGAUUAUGUUGUGUCAGUUUUAAGUCCAGGUGCUGUAGCAGAUCAGAGUGGUCGCAUGUUGUUAAUCUGCUUGCUUUAGUUAUUUUACCUUUUAAACACUUUGCGGGUGUGGGUUAGUUCAUUAUGAUGCUAACUUGUGUGACAACUUGUUUGCUGCUAUUAACUGAUGAGCGUGCGUUGCUUUGUUCAGAAAUUUAUAAUGAAUUCGGGAUAUUAUUAUCUGUA